AGGGCCAGGCACCGAUAGGGGAUCAAGGACCUGUUCUCCCAGAAGCUACAGCUGCCAUCUGGGCCGAGGGAGGCGGGUUCUGGGGAGGUACCCGGUGCUUUACGUUUCCUUCCAGGAAAAGCCAUUUCAUCUCUGAGCCUGACCUCUCAGGUCUGCUCUCUCUGGGGGCUUCUCUGUUCCCCAUGACCCUCCCAUGGGGAAGGGGUGCCUCCAGGUUCCUGCCAGCCUGAGACAUGACACUGCAGACCCUGGUUGCAGGAGGAGAGGUUCCUGCAGAAGCUGGGCGCUCGGGGGAGCCCAGGUGUCUGCAACCCAUCUGAGGUUCUCAUCUCUAAACACUUCAGAUGAAGAUAAAUGGAUCUGAAAGGAGCAUAUCCCCCUCAACCAUGUAAACACAAGGCAGCAGACGACUAAAGAGGACCCUGCCGUUGCUGGGGACAGCCUCCUGGAGCACAGACUCCAGCUCAGGGAUCAGAGCCAGCUCCUCCUGCUGCUGGCCUACGCGUGAUGUGAAAGUUACGGAAGCAACAAAUGCUGCCUUCUGUCCUCCAGGGGAACGUAUCCCCAGAAAGCCAACAAGAGCAGAGAGACAAGAAGACGGAGAGAGCUUCGCCGGCACACGAAUAUCAUCACACCAUCCUUGUGGGCUGUGCAGCUUUGUGUAAACCCUACAACAGCCAUGCAAGGAACACAGACACAUUCCUGCCCUCUGGUGACUGAUGAGGAGACUGAGACAUGGCUUAAAGGAGGAGCUCAAAGCCCCUCAGUACAGAGUUAGAAACUAGAACUGAGCUGUUUGAACUCCAGAAACAGUGCUCCUUCCAUUCCAGAAAAUUCCCAGCAAGAGGAUGCUAGCAGCCUCCCAGUGCCAGAACCGCAAAAGCUCCGGUGAGGAGCAGAAACCUAGGCCACACGUGGCAGGUGUGAACACUUGCCCCUAAUGGCCUCAAGGACCGCAAGGCCCACUCUUGGCCGGUCCCACCUCCAAAGAGCUUGUCCACGGCCCAGUGGAGGGAGGGUGCUCUUGUCUAGGGCCCCUGGGUCACAGGUCAGCUUUGCCUCCUGAUUUCUGGCACCCAGCCCCACCAUUGUUUCUGUACUUUCUCCAAAUUAAAAACCCAUUGUGGCUGUUCCUAGGUAAAAAGA
rnacentral:lncRNA from 1 species